rnacentral:lncRNA from 1 species
ACUGUUUUUGAUAAGUCUCUGGUUAAUGAGAAUUAAUAUAAAUUUAUUUAAAUACACUUGAAAGGGAGAAUUUUUGUGAAUCCAAAGUUCAAAAAAAAUCUAUAUAAAAUUGGUGAAAUAUAUGAGCAAAUGGUAAUAAUAGUGUUUAAAAGUGGAUGCUUUAAUUGCACUUAAUUUUACUUUUUAUAAGCAAGGUCUUAGCUGGCUGGCUUGAAACUCACUAUGUAGAUCAUGCUGACUUUGAACUCACAGAUAAUCCCACUUGUUUCUGCCUCCCAAGUGGUAAAGGCAUACACUACUAUGCUUAGCCCCUCAUACUUGAUUUUUAUAUAUCCUUUAAGACCUCUGUGUUGCUGUGACUUGGAAUUAUUGCUCCAUUCCCUAAAUCUAUUUAUAGGGAAUAGAUUUAUUUAUGUAAUCUAGCAUCUUUACACUUCUGGAAUGGUAGGAUUUGCUUCACAAGCCAUUUUCAUGUAUUUAAAAAAAAACAUUAAAUUAUGUGUGUGUAUGUUUUUCGUGAUAUGGUGGGGGAGCACAUAUGGAUGUCAGAAGACCCUUAUAAAGUUGGAGGGGAAACAUGGAUGUCACAGUGCCUUUGUGGAGUUGGUCCUCUCUUUCCACUUAAGUUCAGACUGUCAGGCUUGCCUGGCAAGUGCUCCUCCCUCAGCACUGAGCUAUCUUGCCAACCCAAUCUGUGUUCUUUGUGUAGAAAAUCAUUGGAGCCAGUGUGUGCAUGUUCUGCCUCUCAGGUCUGUGACUGCUCUAUAGUUUUAGGUAGACAGUUUCUGAGCUAUCAAGAAGACCCUUGUGGCUGCCCAUCAUGAGCUGCACACCACAUGAUUAAAAGUGUUAUACCAGUCUGAAGAAUUGUAGACUCUGAUGUCAAUACAUCAGCAGAGAAUUGACUGCUGAGUUCACUGUCUGUUGGCAGGAAGUCAAGAUGGUGCAGCUCACACUGAAAAGCAUCCUUUGCCACUGCUGUGAGAUAAGAGAAAGGAGGCAACACUAGUGGUCAAGCAUAGCAUUGUCAGUGAGGUGGUUUUGUUUUUUUGGUUGGACUGGGAUUUGGGAGGAGUUGGGGCUCUUUGUUUAUUUUGAGAUGGGAUCUCAUCCCAUCUUGGCCUCCCAAGUGCUUCUAGUAUAUACUUCUAGUAUAGGCACCUGGUAUCAAGCCCUGCUUAUAAUGAACAUUGCUCAUUGCAGGAGAUUUUUGUUUGUUUAUAAAUACUGUGCAUCAGAUUAAAAAAAAAUGUAUGAAUUUGAAAAGUAGACAAACAUGUUAGAGUGUAUCUUUUGAAAUUCAUAUAAUGUACAAAAUGUAGAGCAUGCACUGCCUAAAACUUUAGCACACAACAUACUUAGCUUAAAUAAAAAUUCUUACCCACCUGUUAAAUGAAAGGGGCAGUAGAGGGAGAAGCUAACAGUACUUAAGUCUAGUGAAAGGAAUAUGAAAAACUAAUCUCUAAACAAAUAAAAUAUAAAAGUCAGUAUGAAUGACAGGUUGGUAGUUACUGAUAGGAAUUAAUCUCAAGUUCUGGGAUAUAACAGAAAGCAAGUGUGCAUGUGUUGUGUGUAAUAUAUCUUAAGACAUAGAAAAACAGGAUCACAAAGAUAUUCAUCAAAUGAAUGUCCUUUGAAGAGUUUCUGUCUAUUCAAAUUUCCUUCCUGGUCCAAAGCAUGCUCUGGCCUCUCCUAUGGGAACUCAAAUGGGAGAUCUUUUUCCUUCAUUCCUGUCCAAGGCUUAGUGGAUACAGCCAUUCCGGUUUUCACUUUGAACAUCUAGAACAAAGAAGGGCAAGGCAUUGAAAAUAGGCUUGUUUUUUGGUGAUGGUACACACCUUCAAUCCCAGCACUCGGGACAGGGCCAGAGCAGGCAGAUCUCUGAGUUCAAGUCCAGCCAGGUCUACAAAAUGGGUUCCAGGGCAGCCUGGACUACAAAGGG